UUCUUCUCUUUUUUAAAUCCU
rnacentral:piRNA from 1 species